GACGAACGCUGGCGGCGUGCUUAACACAUGCAAGUCGAACGGAAAGGCCCUGCUUUUGUGGGGUGCUCGAGUGGCGAACGGGUGAGUAACACGUGAGUAACCUGCCCUUGACUUUGGGAUAACUUCAGGAAACUGGGGCUACUACCGGAUAGGAGCUCCCGCUGCAUGGUGGGGGUUGGAAAGUUUCGGCGGUUGGGGAUGGACUCGCGGCUUAUCAGCUUGUUGGUGGGGUAGUGGCUUACCAAGGCUUUGACGGGUAGCCGGCCUGAGAGGGUGACCGGCCACAUUGGGACUGAGAUACGGCCCAGAGUCCUACGGGAGGCAGCAGUGGGGAAUAUUGCACAAUGGGCCGAAGCCUGAUGCAGCAACGCCGCGGGCGGGAUGACGGCCUUCGGGUUGUAAACCGCUUUCGCCUGUGACGAAGCGUGAGUGACGGUAAUGGAUAAAGAAGCACCGGCUAACGACGUG
rnacentral:rRNA from 1 species